GGUUCUAUGGGGUAAUAGGGUUCUUAAUGGGGGUCAAUUGGUUCUUAGUGGGGUAAAAUAGGGUUCUAUGGGGGUAAUUGGGGUUCUAUGGGGGGUAAUAAGGGUCUAUGGGGGGGGUAAUUGGGUUCUAUGGGGGGUAAUAGGGUUUCUAUGGGGGGUAAUAGGGUUCUAUGGGGGGUAAUACGUGUUCUACUGGGGGUAAAUUGGGGUUCUAAUGGGGUAAGUGGUCCUAUGGGCGGUAUAUAGGGUUCUAAUGGGGGUAAUUGGGUUUCUAUGGGUGUAAUUGGGUUUCUAUGGGGGUAAUAGGUUUCUAAUGGGGGGGUAAUUGGGGUUCUAUGGGGGUAACUUGGUUUCUAUGGGGGGUAAUUGGGCUUCUAUGGGGGGGUUAAUUGGGUUCUUAUGGGGGGUAAUAGGUUCUAUAUGGGGUGGU
rnacentral:lncRNA from 1 species